AGCUGAUGCAGCUGAUGGGUGACAAAAACAAAAGCCCAGCCAGCGAACCCCGGUGUGUCAAAGCCAUGUUCUGCACAGUUACCGUGUCCGGACGAAGGGCGGCGCUCGCGACCCCCUCACGGCUGAAUCAAAAGCCUCCAGCCUGCGUCCGUAAUUGAAUUGCAGGAGUAACAUGAGAGGCUUGCUGGCAUAGUAAUGAAUCAACAGCCGGUGGCGAUUUAAUAAACCUCAUCUACUUUACUGGCUGGAUUCUGUGACUGCCGAGCUCCUGCAUCUGUUCUAUUGAGCCUCAUGUCUCUGACAAUAUGAAGAAAAUCCUCCAGUGUCCAGCCCAGAAACCGUCCCUCCUGCCCGGUCCGGUCUGCUUGAAAUCCUGCCUUUCUGCCAGACAGAAGCACAAACCACGGGAUGGGAAGGACGGUGAUGUGAAAAGGACAUUUUCGUGGCCACAAUCGGUAAAUGAAGAGAACAAAAGGCUG